UAAGUAAGCGGAGGAAAAGAAACUAAAUAGGAUUCCCUUAGUAAUGGCGAAUGAACAGGGAUCAGCUCGGGAUGGAAAUCGGGGUCUUUGGCCUUGAAUUGUAAUCUGGAGAUGUACCACCAACUGGGGCACAGAUGUAAGCCUCUUGGAAAAGAGCAUCAGUGAGGGUGAGAAUCCCGCAUGGCAUUUGUAGUCCUCAGUGUACGGUGUGCAUUCUAAGAGUCACGCUCCUCGGGACUGGAGUGUAAAUUGGGUGGUAAAUUUCAUCUAAAGCUAAAUAUUUGUUCGAGACCGAUAGCAAACAAGUACCAUGAGGGAAAGGUGAAAAGGACUUUGAGAAGAGAGUUAAAAGUGCCUGAAAUUGCUGAAAGGGAAGCGAAUGGAACCAGUGCAGCUUGGCAAGAUUGUUACGUGCCAGCGGGAUUGCUUGCUGCUUCAACGUAAGUGUGGCAGUAGGUUUUGAUCGUGACGCUCGUGGUGCCUCUUGCUUUGUGUGUCAACGUUAGUUCACGGCUGAGGAAAACUUCAAGGACUUGGUAGCCUGUCUUCGGGUGGGUGAAUGUGCUUGCUGGAACUCAUCUGUGGUCUAUCCGUUGACUAAAUGGUUCCAUCCGACCCG
rnacentral:rRNA from 1 species